rnacentral:rRNA from 1 species
UGUGUAGGCGGUUGUUUAAGUUUGGUGUGAAAUCUCCCGGCUCAACUGGGAGGGUGCGCCGAAUACUGAAUGACUAGAGCGCGGGAGAGGAAAGUGGAAUUCCUGGUGUAGCGGUGAAAUGCGUAGAUAUCAGGAGGAACACCGGUGGUGUAGACGGCUUUCUGGACCGUAACUGACGCUGAGACACGAAAGCAUGGGUAGCAAACA